rnacentral:lncRNA from 1 species
UUUCUGCUUAGUUCUGGUAAGUUUUCUAGCGCUGAAAUAUUUACUGGUCAGUUUAAUAUUUUAAAAAAAAUCUAAUUAUCUGAGAAAAGUGUUGUGCUUGGUUACUUGUCUAAUGCAGUCAUUUGUAACGCUAUUGGUAUAUGUUGUAUUGAUAGUAUUUUGGAUCGAUAGGGUUAAAAGAGUUGAGGGCGAGAUUAAGCUACUGUCUCAUAUCAAAUAGGUUAAUUGAAACACUCAAACAAAUGCUUGAAACAAAAGACAUUAUGUACAAGCCAUAGGAUACAUUAAUAGGUAACUAAUAAAAGUAAAUAACAAAAUAAUAAACAUGAAUAGGUAAUAAAACUUGGGAUCUUUCUACUUAAGUUAUAUAUAAGAGGGAAUAUUUGACCAUCCAAAAUGAAGUAUUCAAACUUUUUUGAUAGUUACUACCAUAAUCUCAUUCAUUUCCUCUGGAAAAGAAAUCUAAAUUCAUUAUUGCCUUUGGCGAGACAUGAAUGAUAUUAUUUGUUCUACUCUGCUCUUUUGAUUAUUUAAAGCCAUUCAGAGUUUUGUUACAUUUGAGAAACAGAGAAGUUUACUUUUUCAGUAAGAAGAAAAGAAGGGGGGAUGAACACAAGAUUGAGAUUUUGAUGUGCAAUUCCUUUAGGCACUUGCAGAAGAGAGCAAAAGACACUUGGAAAUUUCUCCAUUUUUUGGUACAAUCAUUUUAGAAUAAGUUAUAAAUCAGUAAAAUAAAGCAAAUCUUUUUGUUAAAUCAUUUUCAAAAUGCAAUAUGCAUUACAACUGAUGUACAAUACUCUCCUUUUUUAUGAAAUUACUUUCUGUACUAUGGCAUAGAAUAUAAGUUAUUUAUUCAUUUUUAUGGUUUAGCUUUUGAGAUCUAAAAAAUUAUCUUUUGGCAGAUUGAGGGAGGUUCUAAACUUGGAACAAACAUGUAGAGAAAAUAGAGAAGCACCUACUCUGCUCAAGACACGUCUAAAUUUUUUGUUAAUUAAGUCCAUUUAUUACCAAAUGAUAUACUGGAUCUUUCCAGGAACACUUUAAUGAUAUUGAGAAAGACUCCUUUAAUGCACAUAUUACCGGUACAGAUGAUAUGCUGAAUCUUUCCAGGAACAAGCAUAGAUUUAAACUUAGCGGGAUCAGCAGCCCUAUGCGGGAUGUGAAGAUCGCCCUAUUGAUGUUCGGCUUAAAAUGUGUAUAUUUAACCAUUGUUACCUCACAUUCUAUUAUUUUUAAUCGUCUUUUGAGUAUUAAUUAUAUUACUUUAUGCUUAAUAUUAUAUUUUAAUUAUGCAGGAAUAAAGUGGUGUGAAGAUGAAAAGAUUUGGAGCAAAAUUGAAUAAAACGCGGAAGAAAAAAAAAAAGAAAAAAAAACAAAAAAGACAAAGGGGGUACACCCUUUGGUAUUUGUAUUGGAUUUCAAACAAAAAGAGAGAUAGAAUUCAAACAAAAAGAAGCAAGGAAUUCAUACUUUGAACAUGAAACGUUACUGGAUUUAGCGCCAGCGCUAGGCGCUGCCCUGGACGCUCGAAGUGGGGACUUAUCCUAUUUCGCCCGGGACUUGGUUAUUUCAGCCCUACACGGUCCCAACUCAUAUAAAAGGGGUUCUAAACUUAUUUGGGAGGGGGGAGAACAUUUUUGAGAGGAACGUUUGGCGAAGAGAGAGCACAGAGCUGCCGUGGAGGCCGAGUUUUAUCUUUUCUUCCACCAAACUUAGUAAUUUUUAUGUUUCUUUGUGUGUGUCACGACCCAGAAUUCCCACCUUCGGGACCAUGAUGGCGCCUAAUAUUUCAC